rnacentral:lncRNA from 1 species
UUCAAGAGGGCGCUUAUCUAUCUCAGAAAUAGCAGUAAUUAAUUUUUGAGGAAAAAAUGGCGGCAGCAGCAGCAUCAGCUUCCAUGUCGGCCACCGCCGUGUUGAUUCCUCGUGUUCCUGCAGCCGUUAGAACAACCCGCUGUUCCGCCUUGCCGCCUCUCCCUCCUCGCGUUUCCACCUCUUCCUUUUCCUCGUCCGUUAAGCUAACUCCAGGUACUGCUGUUAACAUUCCCCCUUUUAACGCCUCACUUCACUUGCCUGCUCUUCCUUUUGUUUGAUUUUAUUGAAUGAAAAUGAAAGCUUAAUGGUCAUAUAAGUUAAGAGUUCACUUUUAUAUCCGGUUCUUCCAAACACCAUAUUCGGAAUUGAGACUGGUUUUUUGGGAAAUGAAAUCAUUGGUGGUGGGUGUAGGAUCAGAAACGUUAGAGUGGUGACAAUCACACGUGUUAAGAGUAGUUGCAGUAAACUAAUUAUGGAGGCUUUGUCUGAUAAAAAUGGGUCAAUCUUUUGGACGAUCAUAUGGCAGUUGGGACCCCAAAUUUCAAAUGAGGAUGAAUUGGUGCCAAUUCAAGUAUGGGAUAGAAUGCAAGUAACAACUCUGGAUGAAUGUCGG